GAUCGUGGUGACGUGCACAGUUCGUUGCCAGCGACAUCGUAAGAAGCCCACUGAACCUUAUCAUUUAGAGGAAGGAGAAGUCAUAAUAAGGUUUCUGUAGGUGAAGCUGUGGAGGAUCAUUAUCGAU
rnacentral:rRNA from 1 species